GAAGCUCCAUCACCCUUGACUUCUUUAUGACUUGACUUGGAGAAGUACGAUCACCAUCGACACCGAAUACUUACCGAUUGGUGAGAAAUUCGAUCGACUUCAACUCUCCAUGAAGUGUUUAUAAAUGAGUUAGAAUUGAACUACUGAGUUGGCUAGAGUUAAAGAAAUGACAUGAGCAAAUCUUUCUUGGACAUUGACAUAGUU
rnacentral:lncRNA from 1 species